UGGCUCAGUUGGUAGGGCACGGUGUUUGCAACGCCAGGGUUGUGGGUUCGAUUCCCAC
rnacentral:tRNA from 1 species